CUCUCUUGCUGUAUCGAAUUACGGCGUUUGUUGCGGUUUGGCCCAGUUAGCACUAUCGCCUUGUGCGUCCCGUACCCGAGUGGGGCCUACCUGGAACUGUCCAUUUACCCCGCCCGGUCCCUGCCGGCUCCUCACCUCCAAAGAAGCACAAACAACCACCAAAGGAAGAGGCGCAGCAUCAUCGACUCACGGGAUAAGGACAGGCAAUGCCGCAUAUGCAUAUGCGUUCUUUUCCUCUAAAUGGGCGGCAAUGGUGCGCAUGAAGUGUCGGCAUGCAAAGCAGAGCGGGCCCCUACGUGUGUGUUUAUGGUAAGAGGGUUCUCGCAAUAGAAGACGCAGCGUUCUACACACACACACAC
rnacentral:misc_RNA from 1 species